UAUAUAUAUAUAUGUGUAUAUAUAUAUAUAUGUAUAUAUAUAUAUGUAUAUGUAUCUGUAUAUAUGUAUAUAUGUAUAUCUAUAUAUAUGUAUAUAUAUCUAUAUAUGUAUAUAUAUCUAUAUAUAUGUAUAUAUAUAUAUGUAUAUAUGUGUGUAUACAAUAAAGGUGAAAUAAAAAGAGUGUUACAACCAAUGAAAUAUUUUUUUGGGUUUUUGGGUUUCACCUUUGUAGAGCAGGCUAUUCUAAUGCCCUGAGGUUUAAGUUAUGCUCCAAGUAAACAGAAGGUGGCCUGAAACCUUGAACAAAUCUAACUUUCUUAAAGAAAAGCUUCUGAUAAUUCAGAAGACUGGAAAAAAAAUCAAAUGCACAGUUUUCAUUCUAUUAACUAGGGAAAAACAAAAGGACAAACGGAACAACAUCGUCAUUUGUUAUGUAGCAGGUUUAUCAGAGAACGGGUUAGUCAGCAUCUCUUUCAUGAUGCCAAGUCAAAAGAUGACUUGAACGAGUGCUUGUGCCACACUCAAGUUUUGUUGUGAAAGCUAUAAUCCAGAUUAGUGGCCUGUUAAAUGGUUAAAGUCUAGGUUGGCUUUAUACUUGAGAAUAAAGUAAUAUAGGUUGUCCUUCUAAAGAAUUAAGUUAAAUUCCACAGUUGAAUCAUAAGAAACAUUAUGUUACAUAUAAACCCUGCCAUAUGUUAGAUCUGGUCAUUUUGCUUAUUAGAAACUUUAUAUAUUGGAAGUUAACUUUUAACAAGCAUGUAAUGAUUAUAUUUAAAUUAGGUGGUCUUUUUUUAAACAUAUCUCUUUAGGCCAAAACUGACAGUGCCAAUACCACACAUUCAGACACAGUAGUAGAUGGUGUUUUUAAUACUAUAUGUGUUAGUCUAAUUUGGUUGUAUGGGGUCUACAUUGACCUUCUGUGUUGUAAGUUAUAAUGAUUGCACAGCCAUUAAGGAUCAAAUCUAAAAGCUUCUAAAAAUAUUCUGUUUUUUCUCCCUCUGCUUGCUUCUUACUGUCUUUGAGGCUCGGGACCAGCACUCCUGUUGUUCAACUCAGUGACUUGAGAUAUGACUGCACUAUGCUGUUGCUGGUGACCACAGUUAAUUCUACAAGACAUGCUGUGACACCAGGAGAGAUGAGUCCUCCGUCACAGAUGGUGUGGUCAGUGAAGAUGGUCGCCUGCAGGUUCAAGUUCAUUGCAUCUCCAACCCACAUCCACUGCCACUGUACUUAAGGGAAGUUAAAGACUUUCUUCUGCACCUACAUUUGGAUCACCUCGAUCCAUGACAGUCAUUCAGGCAGUAAUGCCUGGACUGGAAACAAGCAUCCUUAAAAUAUUACAACAUUCCAGCUCAUGUGUUGGAAUGAAAAACAAAUGUGUUGUUUAAAUUAGAGACUGCACUUGUGACAGAACAAUAAAUAUUUUAUUCUGAUUAUAUAAGUAAUGUAAGUACAAAACAAACUUGUGGUAGGCCUAAACUUAUUUUCAGAAUAAUUACAUCUGAGACUUUGUUUCAUUGUAAGAUUAUAACAGUGAUGGCAAUAUAAUUGUUUGUUGUUCAGCAGAACAGUGUCCAGUAUGUUGGCUGUUAUACUUUGUUGCAUUUGAAAAUAAAAGUUGGGCUCAUUUUAACAUCAUUACAAAAAGUGUUGUUAAUUAUUUUUAAUCAUAUUCAGGUUACCACAAAUUGUUUUUUCAUUUAGUUGAACUUGAAAUGUUUGUCAGUAGGUAAACAAUUAGUAUUGUACAGUCAGAAAUAUCAAGUUAUUCUUAAUACUGCAGACUUGCAAUGAAUAAGUUGUCCUAACAGUCGUCUUAAGUAAGCUUUACUUAGUUUUUUUGAGGCAACGAGUUUACAUAUUUUUUUGAGUUCUGGAAACUAAAUAGGUUUUUACUCUGUACUCAAAGUGAAGAAGUUGCCUUAACUUAGUCAUCUUAAGUAAACUUUACUCAAUUGCUUUGAGGCAACGAGUUUGCAUAGUUUUUUUUUUUAGUUCUGGGAACUAAUUAGAUUUUACAGUCCAGAUAUGUCAUGGUACCUGGGUUGUUUACCCAGUGUUUUGAGUUUGGACUUUUUGUCAAAGAUCAAUGUUUUUGUGCAAUAACAAAUAAUAAAAA
ensembl:lncRNA